rnacentral:rRNA from 1 species
GUGGGGAAUAUUGGACAAUGGGCGAAAGCCUGAUCCAGCCAUGCCGCGUGUGUGAAGAAGGUCUUCGGAUUGUAAAGCACUUUAAGUUGGGAGGAAGGGCAGUAAGUUAAUACCUUGCUGUUUUGACGUUACCGACAGAAUAAGCACCGGCUAACUUCGUGCCAGCAGCCGCGGUAAUACGAAGGGUGCAAGCGUUAAUCGGAAUUACUGGGCGUAAAGCGCGCGUAGGUGGUUUUGUAAGUUGGAGGUGAAAUCCCCGGGCUCAACCUGGGAACUGGCUCCAAAACUGCAUGACUAGAGUACGGUAGAGGGUAGUGGAAUUUCCUGUGUAGCGGUGAAAUGCGUAGAUAUAGGAAGGAACACCAGUGGCGAAGGCGACUACCUGGACUGAUACUGACACUGAGGUGCGAAAGCGUGGGGAGCAAACAGGAUUAGAAACCCCUGUAGUCC